AGAGUUUGAUCCUGGCUCAGGACGAACGCUGGCGGCGCGCCUAACACAUGCAAGUCGAACGAGCGAGAGAGAGUUUACUUUUUCAAGCGAGUGGCGAACGGGUGAGUAACGCGUGAGGAACCUGCCUCAAAGAGGGGGACAACAGUUGGAAACGACUGCUAAUACCGCAUAAGCCCACGACCCGGCAUCGGGUAGAGGGAAAAGGAGCAAUCCGCUUUGAGAUGGCCUCGCGUCCGAUUAGCUAGUUGGUGAGGUAAUGGCCCACCAAGGCGACGAUCGGUAGCCGGACUGAGAGGUUGAACGGCCACAUUGGGACUGAGACACGGCCCAGACUCCUACGGGAGGCAGCAGUGGGGAAUAUUGCACAAUGGGGGAAACCCUGAUGCAGCGACGCCGCGUGGAGGAAGAAGGUCUUCGGAUUGUAAACUCCUGUUGUUGAGGAAGAUAAUGACGGUACUCAACAAGGAAGUGACGGCUAACUACGUGCCAGCAGCCGCGGUAAAACGUAGGUCACAAGCGUUGUCCGGAAUUACUGGGUGUAAAGGGAGCGCAGGCGGGAAGACAAGUUGGAAGUGAAAUCCAUGGGCUCAACCCAUGAACUGCUUUCAAAACUGUUUUUCUUGAGUAGUGCAGAGGUAGGCGGAAUUCCCGGUGUAGCGGUGGAAUGCGUAGAUAUCGGGAGGAACACCAGUGGCGAAGGCGGCCUACUGGGCACCAACUGACGCUGAGGCUCGAAAGUGUGGGUAGCAAACAGGAUUAGAUACCCUGGUAGUCCACACUGUAAACGAUGAUUACUAGGUGUUGGAGGAUUGACCCCUUCAGUGCCGCAGUUAACACAAUAAGUAAUCCACCUGGGGAGUACGACCGCAAGGUUGAAACUCAAAGGAAUUGACGGGGGCCCGCACAAGCAGUGGAGUAUGUGGUUUAAUUCGACGCAACGCGAAGAACCUUACCAAGUCUUGACAUCCUGCGACGCACAUAGAAAUAUGUGUUUCCUUCGGGACGCAGAGACAGGUGGUGCAUGGUUGUCGUCAGCUCGUGUCGUGAGAUGUUGGGUUAAGU
rnacentral:rRNA from 1 species